rnacentral:rRNA from 1 species
GACGAACGCUGGCGGCGUGCCUAAUACAUGCAAGUCGAACGCUGAAGAGAGGAGCUUGCUCUUCUUGGAUGAGUUGCGAACGGGUGAGUAACGCGUAGGUAACCUGCCUUGUAGCGGGGGAUAACUAUUGGAAACGAUAGCUAAUACCGCAUAACAAUGGAUGACACAUGUCAUUUAUUUGAAAGGGGCAAUUGCUCCACUACAAGAUGGACCUGCGUUGUAUUAGCUAGUAGGUGAGGUAACGGCUCACCUAGGCGACGAUACAUAGCCGACCUGAGAGGGUGAUCGGCCACACUGGGACUGAGACACGGCCCAGACUCCUACGGGAGGCAGCAGUAGGGAAUCUUCGGCAAUGGGGGCAACCCUGACCGAGCAACGCCGCGUGAGUGAAGAAGGUUUUCGGAUCGUAAAGCUCUGUUGUAAGUCAAGAACGAGUGUGAGAGUGGAAAGUUCACACUGUGACGGUAGCUUACCAGAAAGGGACGGCUAACUACGUG